UACAGAGGUGGCAAGCGUUGUUCGGAAUUACUGGGCGUAAAGGGCGCGUAGGCGGUCUUGCAAGUCCCGUGUGAAAUCCCUCGGCUCAACUGAGGAAUGGCACGGGAAACUGCUUGGCUUGAGUUCGGGAGAGGGAAGCGGAAUUCCGGGUGUAGCGGUGAAAUGCGUAGAUAUUAGGAAGAACACCGGUGGCGAAGGCGGCCAGCUGGUCCCGGUACUGACGGCUGAGGUGCGAA
rnacentral:rRNA from 1 species